rnacentral:rRNA from 1 species
UUCCGGUUGAUCCUGCCAGACCCGACUGCUAUCAGAGUGGGACUAAGCCAUGCGAGUCAACGCCGAAAGGCGUGGCAUACGGCUCAGUAACACGUAGUCAACAUGCCCAAAGGACGUGGAUAACCUCGGGAAACUGAGGAUAAACCGCGAUAGGCCAAGGUUUCUGGAAUGAGCCAUGGCCGAAAUCUAUAUGGCCUUUGGAUUGGACUGCGGCCGAUCAGGCUGUUGGUGAGGUAAUGGCCCACCAAACCUGUAACCGGUACGGGCUUUGAGAGAAGGAGCCCGGAGAUGGGCACUGAGAACAGGGCCCAGGCCCUA